CUCAGGAUGAACGCUGGCGGCGUGCUUAACACAUGCAAGUCGAACGAAGAUGCCGGAGUGCUUGCACUUUGGCAGACUGAGUGGCGGACGGGUGAGUAACGCGUGGGUAACCUGCCUUAUACAGGGGGAUAACAGUUGGAAACGACUGCUAAUACCGCAUAAGCGCACGGUAUCGCAUGAUACAGUGUGAAAAACUCCGGUGGUAUAAGAUGGACCCGCGUCUGAUUAGCUUGUUGGUGAGGUAACGGCCCACCAAGGCGACGAUCAGUAGCCGGCCUGAGAGGGUGAACGGCCACAUUGGGACUGAGACACGGCCCAAACUCCUACGGGAGGCAGCAGUGGGGAAUAUUGCACAAUGGGGGAAACCCUGAUGCAGCGACGCCGCGUGAGUGAUGAAGUAUUUCGGUAUGUAAAACUCUAUCAGCAGGGAAGAUAAUGACGGUACCUGACUAAGAAGCACCGGCUAAAUACGUG
rnacentral:rRNA from 1 species